GAGAGGAAACGCAUGCUGCAGGAAGCAGAAGGAGGAGAUAUGUGUGUGACAUGUUUGGGGACGGAGGACCCAGGUCCUGCGGUGGAGCGAUUGAAUGACAGAGAUUACCUGUUCGGAAAGCCCCAAACCUGAUUAACUGGACUGAAGUGGAUUGAGUGGAGAGCCAUGGGUCAAGGGGUCUCAACCGAGCGUCGACUUCCACAUCU